rnacentral:rRNA from 1 species
UACGGAGGGGGCUAGCGUUGCUCGGAAUCAUUGGGCGUAAAGCGCACGUAGGCGGUUCGUUAUGUCGGAUGUGAAAGCCCUUGGCUUAACCGAGGAAGUGCAUCCGAAACUGGCGAGCUAGAGUACGAAAGAGGAUCGCGGAAUUCCCGGUGUAGAGGUGAAAUUCGUAGAUAUCGGGAGGAACACCGGUGGCGAAGGCGGCGAUCUGGGUCGAUACUGACGCUGAGGUGCGAAAGCGUGGGGAGCGAACAGG